GUGAAAUUUAGGUGAACCAUAAAAUGGUUUCACAAGGUAAAUCUUGACAUUUUGACACAUUGUGAUGUCAUGGAUGACAUCAAUAGGAAGAAUUCACUCCUAUAAAUAGGUAGUUCCUAAUUCAUUUGUAACACACCUCUCACUUGCCUUCUCAUCUUCAAAGGCAUUUGAUCUUCUUUCUCUCUUGUAGUAUUUCACUUGUACUCUUUUGGAGUGAAAUAAAUAUUGGUUGGUUGUGUCCGAGGAGUAGGCAAAAGAAAACAAAAGUUUGCCGAACCUCGUUAAUUCUUGGUGUUCUUUUUAUUGUUGUCUCAUCUACUAUUUAUUAGCUACCUUUAGAUAUAACAGUUGUGAUUUCAUCACUCUCUAUAUAUUCGGCUUCCGCAACAAUUGGUAUCAGAUCCAAGGUAUUAUCUGAGUAUGCUCUGUGGUUGCAACAUAGAUUGAACUUCCACAUCAGAAAAGAUUUACUUUGGUCUUUGCAUUGUUAGCUAGUAAAUAGUAUUUGUAGCAAAAAUGGGAGACAAUUAAAAUGAUGAGUCCACAUCGAAUGUCAAUAAUACGUCAUCAUUGACAUCUUCGCUUAUGACACGAAUUGUGUCAAAUGCAAAAUUUGCAGUUGAAAUUUUUGACGGGUCAAGACAUUUCGGAAUGUAGCAAGGCGAGGUCCUUGAUGUUCAUUUUCAACAAGGGCUAGAUAUUGCCAUAGAAGAAAAGAAACCAGACGGUGUAGGAGAAGAAGAUUGAAAGAUUAUCAACCGUGUUGCAUGCGAUACCAUUCGAUCUUACCUAGCAAGAGAACAAAAGUAUCCAUACACAAAGGAAACAUCUGCAAAUAAAUUAUGGAAUUCAUUGGAGGAGAAAUUCUUGAAGAAAAACAGUCAAAAUAAACUUUACAUGAAAAAAAGACUGUUACGCUUCACUUAUAUUCUUGGUAGCACAAUAAAUGAUCAUAUCACUAGCUUUAAUAAGUUGGCGACAGAUUUGCGGAAUAUGGACGUGACUUUUACGGAUGGAGAUAUGGCCUUAAUGUUGUUAAGUUCACUUCCCAAUGAGUUCGAGCACCUUGAAACUACUCUACUGCAUGGGAAUGAUGAAGUAUCUCUCAAAGAAGUUUGUUCUGCCUUAUAUAGUUAUGAACAAAGAAAGAGAGAAAAACAAAAGGGCGGAGAAGCAGAAGCUCUGAUUGUGAGAGGUCGUUCUCAAAAUCAUGAGAGAACGAAGAAUGGGAGAUCCAAGUCAAGAUCCAAACUCAGCAAAGAUGAAUGUGCCUUUUGCUGAGAAAAAGGGCAUUAGAAGAAAAACUGCCCAAAGUUGAAAAACAAAGCCAAACCAAAUAAUGGGAAGGCUGUCAUGGAUUCAAAUGUGGCUAAUUGUGAUGACUUCGAUUACUCAUUAGUUACAAUAGAUCCAUCCAAAUCAUUUGAUGUAUGGUUGAUGGACUCAGCUUGUAGCUGUCCCAAUAGAGACUGGUUUGUUGAUUUACAAGAAGGAGAAUGUGGAGUUAUUCACACCGCAAACAAUAAUCUUCUUACCGCAUAUGGUGUUGGUUCAAUUCGAUUAAGGAAUCAUGAUGGAUUGACCAAAAACAUUAACAGAUGUUCGGUAUGUACCGGAUUUGAAGAAGAAUCUCAUUUCUGUUGGAGCCAUAGAGUCAAAGGGAUUCAAAGUCAUUGCAGAUAAAUGGCGUAAUGAGAAUAUGCUCCGGUGCGCUGGUGGUAAUGAAGGCAAUUAGAAGAAAUAAUAUGUACCACUAUCAAGGUAGUACAGUUAUUGGGACAGCAGCAACAACAUCCAAUGACGACAAGGAGGCAAAAUUGACCAGGCUGUGGCAUAUGCGCUUGGGACAUGCUGGCGGAAAAUCCUUGAAAACUUUAUCAGAUCAAGAAUUACUAAAAGUAGUAAAAACUUGCAACUUGGAGUUUUGUGAGCAUUGCGUCAAGGGAAAGCAAACAAGGGUUAAAUUUGGAACAACUAUCCAUACUACUAAAGGUAUUUUGGAUUAUGUUCAUUCAGAUGUUUGGGGUGCUUCCAAAACACCUUCAUUAGGUGGGAAACACUAUUUUGUAACCUUUGUUGAUGACUUUUCCCGAAGACUGUGGGUGUAUACGAUGAAAACAAAAGAUGAAGUAUUGGGAAUUUUUCUCAAAUGGAAGGCGAUGAUAGAAACUCAAAGUGGCAAAAAGAUCAAGUGUCUUCGCACAGACAAUGGUGAAGAAUACAAAAAUGAUCUUUUUCAGAAAAUUUGUGAGAAAAAUGGCAUCGUCAGGCAUUUCACCGUUAGAAAUACACCACAACAGAAUGGAGUGGCAUAACGCAUGAACCGAACUUUGCUAGAGAAGGUUCGGUGUAUGUUGUCCAAUGCUGGCUUGGGCAAAAUUUUUUGGGCUGAGGCAAUAACAUAUGCGUGCCACCUCAUUAAUCGUCUACCAUCUACUGCUAUAGGUGGGAAGACGCCAUUAGAAAAAUGGUAUGGAAAACCUGUUGAAGAUUAUGGUUCUUUAUAUGUAUUUGGCUCAAUUGCAUAUUAUCAUGUAAGAGAGUCAAAAUUGGACCUAAGAGCAAAGAAAGUUUUAUUUAUGGGAAUUACUUCUGGAGUCAAAGGAUAUCGUUUAUGGUGUCCAGAGACAAGAAAAAUUAUUUUCAGCAGGGAUGUUACCUUUGAUGAAUCUNNNNNNNNNNNNNNNNNNNNNNNNNNNNNNNNNNNNNNNNNNNNNNNNNNNNNNNNNNNNNNNNNNNNNNNNNNNNNNNNNNNNNNNNNNNNNNNNNNNNNNNNNNNNNNNNNNNNNNNNNNNGAAGAAGAGCCAGUCGAAGGGGAGGUUCCAUCUCAAGAACCUCAACCACAACUUGAAUCAAUAGCAACCAACAAGCCAAAAAGGACAAUAAGAAAAUCUGCUUGACUCAUAGAUAUGGUGGCUUGUGCAGACUCAAUUGCAGCUGGUGAUAUUCUUACCACUUAUAAAGAUGUUGUCCAAAGUUCAGAAGAAGAUAAGUGGAGGUUUGCCAUGGAUGAAGAAAUGCAGUCCCUUCAUCAGAAUCAUACAUGGAAAUUGGCUAAUCUCCCGGAUGGCAAGAAAGUAAUUGGGUGCAAAUGGGUAUUUGCAAAGAAAGAAGGAUUUCCUAACCAAGAAGAUGUUCGCUACAAAGCAAGAUUGGUGGCCAAAGGAUAUGCUCAAAAGGAGGGAAUUGACUAUAAUGAGGUAUUUUCUCCAGUUGUGAAACACUCCUCCAUUAGAGUUUUGUUGGCUUUGGUAGCACAGUUGAAUUUGGAACUAGUUCAGUUGGAUGUAAAAACUGCAUUUUUACAUGGAGACUUGGAAUAUGAAAUCUACAUGACUCAGCCAGAAGGAUUCAAAGUUGAUGGAAAAGAAAAUAUGGUGUGCAAACUUGAAAAAUCAUUGUAUGGAUUGAAACAAUCUUCUAGACAAUGGUACAAACGAUUUGACAAGUUUAUGUUGCAGCAAAGGUACAUAAGAAGCAAAUACGAUCAUUGUGUGUAUUUGCGCAAGCUUGAAGACGAUUCCUUUAUAUAUCUUCUCCUAUAUGUUGAUGAUAUGUUGAUAGCUUCUAAAAUUCAAGAGGAAAUUGAGAAGCUAAAGAUUCAACUAAAAAAGGAGUUUGAGAUGAAGGAUUUGGGUGAGGCAAAGAGGAUUCUUGGCAUGGAGAUAAAAAGAGAUCGACAUUCAAAGAAGCUUUUUUUUUAUCUCAGAAAGAAUAUUUGAAGAGGGUACUAAAUCGAUUUGGCAUGAAUGAGAAAACAAAGUCGGUUAGCACUCCACUUGCUCCUCAUUUUAAGCUUAGUGAUGCUAUGUCGCCAAAGAAUGAAGUUGCAUGAGAAUAUAUGUCAAGAGUGCCAUAUGCGAAUGCUGUUGGUAGCUUGAUGUAUGCAAUGGUUUGCACAAGGCCAGAUAUUUCACACGCUGUUGGAGUUGUAAGCAGGUACAAGCAUAAUCCUGGAAAGGAUCAUUGGCAGGCUGUAAAAUGGAUUCUACGGUAUAUUAAUAAUACUGUAGCUAUUGGCUUGGUUUAUGAGCAUAAAGAUUGUCAAUAUCUUGUUGGAUGUUGUGACUCAGAUUAUGCAGGUGAUUUGGACAAACGAAGAUCAACUACUGGUUAUGUUUUCACUAUUGCAAACGCACCAGUUAGUUGGAAGUCUACUUUGCAGUUAAUAGUUGCUUUGUCUACCACUGAGGCAAAACAAUAGCCUCGCCCGUGCUUUAUUUGGUAAUUUACUAUCCUUGCUCAUUGUUUUCAGUUACAACUUACAAGUCAAACAGAAAAUAAGCUUAAUGAAAUAAGAAGAAAUAUUGCUCGUUCGUAAUUCAUGAAAGAGUUCAAAAUGAGAGAAGGUAUGCAUAGAUUCUUAGUUCUCAUUAAAAUGCAGGUCCAGAAGAACAUCGUCUCCGAAUAGACUGGCCAACAAGGCAAAAAAUCUGCAUUGGGAUAGCAAAAGGAUUAGCUUUUCUACACGAAGAAUCGUCAUUAAAAAUUGUUCAUAGGGACAUCAAAGCAACAAAUGUUAAAUUUGACAAGAUUCAAAGAUGAAUUAAUGUGAAGAUUUGGUAGUUAGGAAGAUAAUUCUUCAUUGGUACAAAAGUCAAGAUAACAUCUUUUGUAGGUGAAAUUUAGGUGAACCAUAAAAUGGUUUCACAAGGUAAAUCUUGACAUUUUGACACAUUGUGAUGUCAUGGAUGACAUCAAUAGGAAGAAUUCACUCCUAUAAAUAGGUAGUUCCUAAUUCAUUUGUAACACACCUCUCACUUGCCUUCUCAUCUUCAAAGGCAUUUGAUCUUCUUUCUCUCUUGUAGUAUUUCACUUGUACUC
rnacentral:lncRNA from 1 species